UACGUAGGGGGCAAGCGUUGUCCGGAAUCAUUGGGCGUAAAGAGCGUGUAGGCGGUUCGGUAAGUCGGCUGUGAAAGUCCAGGGCUCAACCCUGGGAUGCCGGUCGAUACUGCCGGACUAGAGUUCGGUAGGGGAGACUGGAAUUCCUGGUGUAGCGGUGAAAUGCGCAGAUAUCAGGAGGAACACCGGUGGCGAAGGCGGGUCUCUGGGCCGAAACUGACGCUGAGGAGCGAAAGCGUGGGGAGCAAACAGG
rnacentral:rRNA from 1 species